rnacentral:lncRNA from 1 species
AGCUAGGAGGACAGAGAAUUGAGAUUGCGCUUGCCACUCAAUCGCUAGUUUACCGCUGAGCGGUGGACCUACAGAACUGGUUUUUGGGUUUUAAGUUUUGGGCCCAGUGUGAGUUGGCCCAUUUGAACUUUACUUACCCUAGGUCUCACCCUAGCCUCCCCAAUUGACCUUUACGUACUUUUGCCACUCUCAAGCUUUCUCCAAAGCAUUCUCUCCACUUUCUCCUUCACCCCUCUUCACAAAAAC